GACAGAGGGUGCAAACGUUGUUCGGAUUUACUGGGCGUAAAGCGCGUGUAGGCGGCUUUGCAAGUCGGAUGUGAAAGCCCACGGCUCAACCGUGGAAGUGCAUCCGAAACUGCAUGGCUCGAGUCUCGGAGAGGAAGGUGGAAUGCUUGGUGUAGAGGUGAAAUUCGUAGAUAUCAAGCAGAACACCUGCGGCGAAGGCGGCCUUCUAGACGAUGACUGACGCUGAGACGCGAAAGCGUGGGGAGCAAACAGG
rnacentral:rRNA from 1 species